rnacentral:rRNA from 1 species
UACGAAGGGGGCUAGCGUUGUUCGGAAUUACUGGGCGUAAAGCGCGCGCAGGCGGUCUUUCAAGUCAGUGGGGAAAGCCUGGAGCUCAACUCCAGAACUGCCAUUGAAACUGCAAGACUUGAGUACGAGAGAGGUGAGUGGAAUUCCCAGUGUAGAGGUGAAAUUCGUAGAUAUUGGGAAGAACACCGGUGGCGAAGGCGGCUCACUGGCUCGUAACUGACGCUCAGGCGCGACAGCGUGGGGAUCAAACAGG